rnacentral:rRNA from 1 species
CGAAAGCCUGACGGAGCAAUACCGCGUGAGGGAGGAAGGCUCUUGGGUUGUAAACCUCUUUUCUCAGGGAAGAAAACAAUGACGGUACCUGAGGAAUAAGCAUCGGCUAACUCCGUGCCAGCAGCCGCGGUAAUACGGAGGAUGCAAGCGUUAUCCGGAAUGAUUGGGCGUAAAGCGUCCGCAGGUGGCAAUGUAAGUCUGCUGUUAAAGAGUCUAGCUCAACUAGAUAAAGGCAGUGGAAACUACAUAGCUAGAGUGCGUUCGGGGUAGAGGGAAUUCCUGGUGUAGCGGUGAAAUGCGUAGAUAUCAGGAAGAACACCGGUGGCGAAGGCGCUCUACUAGGCCGCAACUGACACUGAGGGACGAAAGCUAGGGGAGCGAAUGGGAUUAGAUACCCCAGUAGUCCUAGCCGUAAACGAUGGAUACUAGGCGUGGCUUGUAUCGACCCGAGCCGUGCCGGAGCUAACGCGUUAAGUAUCCCGCCUGGGGAGUACGCACGCAAGUGUGAAACUCAAAGGAAUUGACGGGGGCCCGCACAAGCGGUGGAGUAUGUGGUUUAAUUCGAUGCAACGCGAAGAACCUUACCAAGGCUUGACAUGUCGCGAAUUUCGGUGAAAGCUGAAAGUGCCUUAGGGAGCGCGAACACAGGUGGUGCAUGGCUGUCGUCAGCUCGUGUCGUGAGAUGUUGGGUUAAGUCCCGCAACGAGCGCAACCCUCGUUUCUAGUUGCCAGCAWURAGAUGGGAACUCUAGAGAGACUGCCGGUGACAAACCGGAGGAAGGUGGGGAUGACGUCAAGUCAGCAUGCCCCUUACGCCUUGGGCUACACACGUACUACAAUGCUACGGACAAAGGGCAGCUACACAGCGAUGUGAUGCAAAUCUCGUAAACCGUAGCUCAGUUCAGAUCGAAGGCUGCAACUCGCCUUCGUGAAGGAGGAAUCGCUAGUAAUUGCAGGUCAGCAUACUGCAGUGAAUUCGUUCCCGGGCCUUGUACACACCGCCCGUCACACCAUGGAAGUYGGUCACGCCCGAAGUCAUUACCCC